GACUCGGUUCAAACAUGGCUGCGCUGAGAGUUCUAUUGCUUUGGGCGCCGGGAGCAGGAGGUACUCCGCGAAUGAGAACAUUGAGAAUGUGUUCGGCAUAACUCAUUUCUUUGUAUCUCCCUGCACUCUGUGCUGGGAAAAUGAAUCAUCCAUUUGGAAAAGAGGAAGCUGCUUCGCAGAAGCAGCUUUUUGGAUUUUUCUGCGAAUGCCUGCGGAGGGGAGAAUGGGAGCUGGCACAGGCAUGUGUACCUCAGCUACAGGAGGGACAAGGGGAUAUCCCAAAGAGGGUAGAAGACAUACUUCAGGCAUUGGUGGUGUGUCCAAAUCUGCUGAGGUAAGGGAUCUCUUUUCCUACCAGACGGUCCCAGGGUGAGAGACAUGUGGUUCAAUAUUUGGGCAUUGGUCAAUGUGCCCCCACUCAACUACCCUCUGAAGAAUAAGCAGAGGCACAGUGUAUUUCACGUGCUCUGAAAUUUUACCUCUAUAGUAUACAUCCAUUACUUAGUCAAUAUUGGCUUUUGAUUAUCAUCUGCAACUGAAUGUAAGCCUGGCUGCCAAAGUGUGCCUGAAACUGC
rnacentral:sRNA from 1 species